rnacentral:rRNA from 1 species
GAUGAACGCUAGCUACAGGCUUAACACAUGCAAGUCGAGGGGUAACGAGAGGAAAGCUUGCUUUCCUUGUCGACGACCGGCGCACGGGUGAGUAACGCGUAUCCAACCUGCCCCCAACUAGGGAAUAACCUUGCGAAAGUAAGACUAAUACCCUAUAAUUUCCUCAGAUGUCAUCUGACGAGGAAUAAAGAUUUAUCGGUUGUGGAUGGGGAUGCGUCUGAUUAGCUUGUUGGCGGGGUAACGGCCCACCAAGGCAACGAUCAGUAGGGGUUCUGAGAGAAAGGUCCCCACCAUUGGAACUGAGACACGGUCCAAACUCCUACGGGAGGCAGCAGUGAGGAAUAUUGGUCAAUGGGCGGAAGCCUGAACCAGCCAAGUAGCGUGCAGGAUGACGGCCCUAUGGGUUGUAAACUGCUUUUAUACAGGAAUAAAGUUAGCCACGUGUGGUUAUUUGUAGGUACUGUACGAAUAAGGACCGGCUAAUUCCGUACCAGCCGCCGCAGUAA